UCCGGUUGAUCCUGCCGGACCUGACUGCUAUCGGAUUGAUACUAAGCCAUGCGAGUCAUUGUAGCAAUACAAGGCAUACGGCUCAGUAACGCGUAGUCAACCUAACCUAUGGACGGGAAUAACCUCGGGAAACUGAGAAUAAUGCCCGAUAGAACAUUAUGCCUGGAAUGGUUUAUGUUCCAAAUGAUUUAUCGCCGUAGGAUGGGACUGCGGCCUAUCAGUUUGUUGGUGAGGUAAUGGCCCACCAAGACUAUUACAGGUACGGGCUCUGAGAGGAGUAGCCCGGAGAUGGGUACUGAGACACGGACCCAGGCCCUAUGGGGCGCAGCAGGCGAGAAAACUUUGCAAUGUGCGAAAGCACGACAAGGUUAAUCCGAGUGAUUUGUGCUAAACGAAUCUUUUGUUAGUCCUAGAAACACUAACGAAUAAGGGGUGGGCAAGUUCUGGUGUCAGCCGCCGCGGUAAAACCAGCACCUCAAGUGGUCAGGAUGAUUAUUGGGCCUAAAGCAUCCGUAGCCGGCUCUGUAAGUUUUCGGUUAAAUCUGUACGCUCAACGUACAGGCUGCCGGGAAUACUGCAGAGCUAGGGAGUGGGAGAGGUAGACGGUACUCGGUAGGAAGGGGUAAAAUCCUUUGAUCUAUUGAUGACCACCUGUGGCGAAGGCGGUCUACCAGAACACGUCCGACGGUGAGGGAUGAAAGCUGGGGGAGCAAACCGGAUUAGAUACCCGGGUAGUCCCAGCUGUAAACUAUGCAAACUCAGUGAUGCAUUGGCUUGUGGCCAAUGCAGUGCUGCAGGGAAGCCGUUAAGUUUGCCGCCUGGGAAGUACGUACGCAAGUAUGAAACUUAAAGGAAUUGGCGGGGGAGCACCACAAGGGGUGAAGCCUGCGGUUCAAUUGGAUUCAACGCCGGA
rnacentral:rRNA from 1 species